UACAGAGGGGGCAAGCGUUGUUCGGAAUUACUGGGCGUAAAGGGCGCGUAGGCCGCCUUCUAAGUCGAACGUGAAAUCCCCGGGCUCAACCCGGGAACUGCGUCCGAUACUGGAAGGCUUGAAUCCGGGAGAGGGAUGCGGAAUUCCAGGUGUAGCGGUGAAAUGCGUAGAUAUCUGGAGGAACACCGGUGGCGAAGGCGGCAUCCUGGACCGGCAUUGACGCUGAGGCGCGAAAGCCAGGGGAGCAAACGGG
rnacentral:rRNA from 1 species